rnacentral:rRNA from 1 species
GUCUGUGAUGCCCUUAGAUGUCCUGGGCCGCACGCGCGUUACACUGACAGAGCCAGCGAGUGUCUCUUGGCCGAGAGGCCUGGGUAAUCUUGUUAAACUCUGUCGUGCUGGGGAUAGAGCAUUGCAAUUAUUGCUCUUCAACGAGGAAUUCCUAGUAAGCGCAAGUCAUCAACUUGCGUUGAUUACGUCCCUGCCCUUUGUACACACCGCCCGUCGCUACUACCGAUUGAACGGCUUAGUGAGGCUUUCGGACUGGUCUAUGGCGGUGGGCAACUGCUGCCUAAGGCCGGAAAGUCAUCCAAACUUGGUCGCUUAGAGGAAGUAAAAGUCGUAACAAGGUCUCCGUUGGUGAACCAGCGGAGGGAUCAUUACCGAGUAGACUGCUCAUCUCAUCUCCCCUGUGAACCUAUCUGUUGCCUUGGCAGGGCGCAGCUGCAUGCAUGCUGCCAGAGGCCGCCCGGUGCCCUGCCAAAGGAAUACAAAUGCAGCAAAGAUUAGUGGUUAUCAAAGUAUACACACAAACAAACCAAAACUUUCAACAAUGGAUCUCUUGGUUCUGGCAUCGAUGAAGAACGCAGCGAAAUGCGAUAAAUAAUGUGAAUUGCAGACGUCCGUGAAUCAUUGAGUCUUUGAACGCACAUUGCGCCUAUUAGUACUCUAGUAGGCAUGCCUAUCCGAGCGUCGUACUCCCUCCCUCAGUAUCUAUUAGUGGACUGGCGCUGGCGGUUGCUGUAUUGAUUGCCUAAACACAGUGGCUAGCACGACCAGUGGCAUUCUACGUAGUAAAUCAUUCGUUUAAUGCACGCGUCUGGCUACGCCUGAGUUUGUUGACAAGUUGACCUCGGAUUAGGUAAGAAUACCCGCUGAACUUAAGCAUAUCAAUAAGCGGAGGAAAAGAAACCAACAGGGAUUGCCCCAGUAACGGCGAGUGAAGUGGCAACAGCUCAGAUUUGAAAUCUGGUCUUGAUGAAGACCCGAGUUGUAAUCUGCAGAGGCAGCUUUGGGCAAGGCCCCAUCUGAGUUCCUUGGAAUAUGACGCCCUAGAGGGUGAGAGCCCCGUCAAGAUGGUGGUCAAGCCUGGGUAAAGCGCCUUCGACGAGUCGCGUAGUCCGGGACUGCUGCGCAAAUCAGGAGGUAAACUCCUCCUAAAGCUAAAUACCGGCCAGAGACCGAUAGCGCACAAGUAGAGUGAUCGAAAGAUGAAAAGCACUUUGAAAAGAGAGUCAAACAGUACGUGAAAUUGUUGAAGGGGAAGCGCUGAUGGCCAGACCUCGGCGUGGGAAAUCUCCAGGCGCCAUCCGCCUGUACACUUUCCCUGCUUAGGCCAGCAUCAGUUUGCUCCCGAGGGACAAAGGCCGCUGGAAUGUAGCUCCUUGUGGAGUGUUAUAGCCGGCGGCGUCAUCCAACCGGGGCAGACUGAGGGCUGCGCAUUCGUGCAACGAUGCUGGCAUAAUGGCCAUCAGCGGCCCGUCUUGAAACACGGACCAAGGAGUCGUCCUCAUAUGCGAGUGUUAGGGCAUUACACCCUCUCGCAAAAUGAAAGUAAACGUUGGUGAGAGCUUCGGCGCAUCACCGACCGAUCCUGAUGUUCUCGGAUGGAUUUGAGUACGAGCAUAUGGGGCCGGACCCGAAAGAAGAUGAACUAUGCGUGUAUAGGGUGAAGCCAGAGGAAACUCUGGUGGAGGCUCGCAGCGGUUCUGACGUGCAAAUCGAUCGUCAAAUAUGCGCAUGGGGGCGAAAGACUAAUCGAAUC